AUCUAUCCUUCUAAUGUUUAUGCCCCUCAGGCACAAGCAUUCUACUAUAGAGGUUAUGAUAAUGCCAUUGGUGAAUGGGAUGAAUAUCCUCCAUAUGUCAAUACUGAAGGGUUAGAAAUUGGAUCAUCUGGUGUCUACAAUGACAAUGGUUCCAUUUUAUUCCAUGCUGGAUUUGGCUAUGGUCCGCAAAUGCCAUAUGGACCAUAUUCUCCAGUCACAACACCUUUGCCUUCUGUAGGUGGUGAUGCUCAGUUAUACUCCCCCCAGCAAUUUCCAUUUUCUGGCCCUUAUUACCAGCAAUUAGGUCCUCCUAGUACGCCAUAUAUUACUUCACCAACACCAGUUUCACAACCAGACACCUUAGCAAGUGUUGACCAACAAGGUGAUAACAUGCUUUUUGGACCAAGGCCUAGUUAUCCUCCUCUUCUAGGAUCCUUUGGUGGAGGCAAUUUUCCUGGGAAUCUUGGUACCCUUGGUUUUCAUGAUUUGCAACAGGGGUUUGAUGGACUGAGGUCUGGAGGACUUUGGUCAGAUUGGUCCAAGCCCUCUGAUAGACAUAGGCCCUUGACUCCCUUAUCACCUGCAGUUUCUCCACAGCCAAUUGGCACUUUUGGGUCAUAUGGGCAUAAUGUUGGAAUGGCAUCUCAACAACAAAGAUCAUUUUAUGGCAUUGGAUCUGGUUCAAACUCCUACACUAGAGGCUACAUGCACAGUGGUUUAAAUCAGGGAUCUGGAUUUGGGAGUGCUUCCAUUUCUAGUUUAGGGACGAACAGCAGGGGCUGGCUUUCCCAUGAAAACAGCAGGCGGCUGGGGAGGGCCAGUACUUCUCUAUGCGGCUGUAAUGGUAGUCUUGAUAUCCUUAGUGAGCAAAACCGAGGACCAAGGGCCUCAAAGCCUAAGAGUCAAAAUACAGCUGAACACACUUCUUCUGUUGAUAAUAACAAAUAUAGCAAAUCCACUGCGAAGAUUCAUGUUGAGCUGUAUAACCGACCAGAUUUUGUCACUGAAUACAAGGACGCUAAAUUCUUUAUCAUCAAAUCAUACAGUGAAGAUAAUGUCCACAAGAGCAUCAAAUAUGGUGUCUGGGCCAGCACACCAAAUGGGAACAGAAAAUUGGAUGCUGCUUAUCGUGAAUGUAAGGAAAAGCAAGACCCUUGCCCAGUUUUCCUCUUCUUUUCGGUGAAUGCUAGUGCUCAGUUCUGUGGGGUGGCUGAAAUGGUUGGGCCCGUUGAUUUUGACAAGAGUGUGGAUUACUGGCAGCAAGAUAAGUGGAGUGGGCAGUUCCCUGUGAAGUGGCAUAUUAUUAAAGAUGUCCCAAACAGUCAGUUCCGUCACAUUGUGUUGGAAAAUAAUGACAACAAACCUGUCACUAACAGUCGAGACACGCAGGAGGUGAAAUUGGAGCAGGGUGUUGAGAUGUUGAACAUUUUCAAGAACUAUGAAGCUGACAUGUCGAUCCUGGAUGAUUUUGACUUUUAUGAAGACAGACAGAAGGCUAUGCAAGAACGAAAGGCUAGACAGCAAGUGAGUCCAAUGGCUGCUGGUGUAGUUGGAGCAAAUGAGCACAGAAAUGCCAUUGCAUUAUCCAGUGAUUUAAUCAAGCAGAUGUCCAAGAGUUUUGCUCAAGUUGUCUGCUUGGAAGGGUCUAGCAAAGAAGGCCCUGUUACUGAUAAAGCCAGCUGUGUCUCAGAUAGCUCCAACAGAGUUAAGGCAGAAGAUGCAAUACCAGGCGUUUCUUCUACCAAGACAGGUUAGGAAGACAUCAAUAGGGUGAGAUUUGAGGGGGGC
rnacentral:misc_RNA from 1 species